ACGUGAUUCAAUGUUUUCUGGCAUUUUUAAUAAUACGAAAUUUUAAACUGAAAGUUUCUACUUAGAACUGCACAAUGUGGUUGACAUAACUGGAAGUAUCAGGAUGUUUACUAGAAGAUUUCACCUCUCUGCUGUUUGUGUUGUUGUUGCUGUCGCCGCUUGCUUUAUUCCUGAUGGAGUGUGCGACCCAGGAUGUGGCGGGGUAGUGACAGAGCAGGCAGGGACCAUCCUAACCCCCAACUACCCGGACAACUACCCCAACAAUGUCGACUGUCACUGGA